rnacentral:lncRNA from 1 species
GACAGCGCUGGGAACGCCGGCUCGGGGCGGGUCCCGAGCGAGCCGGGGCAGGGCAGGACAGGCGGAGAUAAGGCAGGAGAUAAAAUAGGAGAUAAGCUGGAGUGAGAUGAGGGCUCCACCCCAUUUGUGACCCUUCCCCUCCGCAGGUAAUCGAUAAGAAAGUUCUCCCCGUGCCUCCACCUCAGGAGAACAAGCCCCAGCGUCAGAAUCCUGCCUUGAGGCCCAAAGGUCCCCCACCUCCCGUUCCUGCCACCAAACCCGGCUCUUCCCACCUGGAGGAGAAGUUUGCUCCAGAGAGAAAAGCUCCUCCCGUGCCUGUGCUCAAAGGCAAACCCCCACCUCCACCCCAGGCUUUAAAGCCCCCGAUGAAUCCCAGAGUCUGAGGCUUCCCAAGCAGAGCUGGGUGGGACACCUGAAGUUUCCAGGGACAAUUUAUCCCUCCAUUCCUCCACUUUUGGCGAAGGUAUCCUGGACCAUCUCCCUCUUCUCCUUAAGAACUGACUGAGAGCUGCUUGGAAAUAUCUGGGAUUUCAGGCAGCGAGGAGCUGCUGUCCAAGGGAAGCAGAGCAGACUCACUGCUUGCACCGAGGUGUAAACUGGGAGCAAGUUACAAAAGCUGCUGAGCACCCCCAGC